rnacentral:rRNA from 1 species
AAGUUAGCGGCGGACGGGUGAGUAACACGUGGGCAACCUGCCUGUAAGACUGGGAUAACUUCGGGAAACCGGAGCUAAUACCGGAUAAUCCUUUUCCUCUCAUGAGGAAAAGCUGAAAGACGGUUUACGCUGUCACUUACAGAUGGGCCCGCGGCGCAUUAGCUAGUUGGUGAGGUAACGGCUCACCAAGGCGACGAUGCGUAGCCGACCUGAGAGGGUGAUCGGCCACACUGGGACUGAGACACGGCCCAGACUCCUACGGGAGGCAGCAGUAGGGAAUCUUCCGCAAUGGACGAAAGUCUGACGGAGCAACGCCGCGUGAGUGAUGAAGGUUUUCGGAUCGUAAAACUCUGUUGUUAGGGAAGAACAAGUACAAGAGUAACUGCUUGUACCUUGACGGUACCUAACCAGAAAGCCACGGCUAACUACGUGCCAGCAGCCGCGGUAAUACGUAGGUGGCAAGCGUUGUCCGGAAUUAUUGGGCGUAAAGCGCGCGCAGGCGGUCCUUUAAGUCUGAUGUGAAAGCCCACGGCUCAACCGUGGAGGGUCAUUGGAAACUGGGGGACUUGAGUGCAGAAGAGAAGAGUGGAAUUCCACGUGUAGCGGUGAAAUGCGUAGAGAUGUGGAGGAACACCAGUGGCGAAGGCGACUCUUUGGUCUGUAACUGACGCUGAGGCGCGAAAGCGUGGG